GGGUUGUGAGGUUAAGCGACUAAGCGUACACGGUGGAUGCCCUGGCAGUCAGAGGCGAUGAAGGGCGUGCUAAUCUGCGAUAAGCGCCGGUAAGGUGAUAUGAACCGUUAUAACCGGCGAUACCCGAAUGGGGAAACCCAGUGUGAUUCGUCACACUAUCAUUAACUGAAUCCAUAGGUUAAUGAGGCGAACCGGGGGAACUGAAACAUCUAAGUACCCCGAGGAAAAGAAAUCAACCGAGAUUCCCCCAGUAGCGGCGAGCGAACGGGGAGGAGCCCAGAGCCUGAAUCAGCAUGUGUGUUAGUGGAAGCGUCUGGAAAGGCGCGCGAUACAGGGUGACAGCCCCGUACACAAAAGCGCAUGUGCUGUGAGCUCGAUGAGUAGGGCGGGACACGUGGUAUCCUGUCUGAAUAUGGGGGGACCAUCCUCCAAGGCUAAAUACUCCUGACUGACCGAUAGUGAACCAGUACCGUGAGGGAAAGGCGAAAAGAACCCCGGCGAGGGGAGUGAAAAAGAACCUGAAACCGUGUACGUACAAGCAGUGGGAGCCCCACCACCAAAGCAUUCUCUGGUGUUGAAGGCCCUGCAAAGCAGCAUCGCGGUGGCGGAGCGUCGUUUGCGACGCCCAACACACAAAACAAGCGGUGAGUGCUUUGGGGUGGGGUGACUGCGUACCUUUUGUAUAAUGGGUCAGCGACUUAUAUUCUGUAGCAAGGUUAACCGUAUAGGGGAGCCGUAGGGAAACCGAGUCUUAAUUGGGCGUUAAGUUGCAGGGUAUAGACCCGAAACCCGGUGAUCUAGCCAUGGGCAGGUUGAAGGUUGGGUAACACUAACUGGAGGACCGAACCGACUAAUGUUGAAAAAUUAGCGGAUGACCUGUGGCUGGGGGUGAAAGGCCAAUCAAACCGGGAGAUAGCUGGUUCUCCCCGAAAGCUAUUUAGGUAGCGCCUCGUGAAUUCAUCUCCGGGGGUAGAGCACUGUUUCGGCUAGGGGGCCAUCCCGGCUUACCAACCCGAUGCAAACUGCGAAUACCGGAGAAUGUUAUCACGGGAGACACACGGCGGGUGCUAACGUCCGUCGUGAAGAGGGAAACAACCCAGACCGCCAGCUAAGGUCCCAAAGUCAUGGUUAAGUGGGAAACGAUGUGGGAAGGCCCAGACAGCCAGGAUGUUGGCUUAGAAGCAGCCAUCAUUUAAAGAAAGCGUAAUAGCUCACUGGUCGAGUCGGCCUGCGCGGAAGAUGUAACGGGGCUAAACCAUGCACCGAAGCUGCGGCAGCGACGCUUAUGCGUUGUUGGGUAGGGGAGCGUUCUGUAAGCCUGUGAAGGUGGCCUGUGAGGGUUGCUGGAGGUAUCAGAAGUGCGAAUGCUGACAUAAGUAACGAUAAAGCGGGUGAAAAGCCCGCUCGCCGGAAGACCAAGGGUUCCUGUCCAACGUUAAUCGGGGCAGGGUGAGUCGACCCCUAAGGCGAGGCCGAAAGGCGUAGUCGAUGGGAAACGGGUUAAUAUUCCCGUACUUGGUGUUACUGCGAAGGGGGGACGGAGAAGGCUAUGUUGGCCGGGCGACGGUUGUCCCGGUUUAAGCGUGUAGGUGUGUGUUCCAGGUAAAUCCGGUUCACUUUAACACUGAGGCGUGACGACGAGGCACUACGGUGCUGAAGCAACAAAUGCCCUGCUUCCAGGAAAAGCCUCUAAGCAUCAGGUAACAUCAAAUCGUACCCCAAACCGACACAGGUGGUCAGGUAGAGAAUACCAAGGCGCUUGAGAGAACUCGGGUGAAGGAACUAGGCAAAAUGGUGCCGUAACUUCGGGAGAAGGCACGCUGACACGUAGGUGAAGUGAUUUACUCAUGGAGCUGAAGUCAGUCGAAGAUACCAGCUGGCUGCAACUGUUUAUUAAAAACACAGCACUGUGCAAACACGAAAGUGGACGUAUACGGUGUGACGCCUGCCCGGUGCCGGAAGGUUAAUUGAUGGGGUCAGCGCAAGCGAAGCUCCUGAUCGAAGCCCCGGUAAACGGCGGCCGUAACUAUAACGGUCCUAAGGUAGCGAAAUUCCUUGUCGGGUAAGUUCCGACCUGCACGAAUGGCGUAAUGAUGGCCAGGCUGUCUCCACCCGAGACUCAGUGAAAUUGAACUCGCUGUGAAGAUGCAGUGUACCCGCGGCAAGACGGAAAGACCCCGUGAACCUUUACUAUAGCUUGACACUGAACAUUGAGCCUUGAUGUGUAGGAUAGGUGGGAGGCUUUGAAGUGUGGACGCCAGUCUGCAUGGAGCCGGCCUUGAAAUACCACCCUUUAAUGUUUGAUGUUCUAACGUGGACCCGUGAUCCGGGUUGCGGACAGUGUCUGGUGGGUAGUUUGACUGGGGCGGUCUCCUCCUAAAGAGUAACGGAGGAGCACGAAGGUUGGCUAAUCCUGGUCGGACAUCAGGAGGUUAGUGCAAUGGCAUAAGCCAGCUUGACUGCGAGCGUGACGGCGCGAGCAGGUGCGAAAGCAGGUCAUAGUGAUCCGGUGGUUCUGAAUGGAAGGGCCAUCGCUCAACGGAUAAAAGGUACUCCGGGGAUAACAGGCUGAUACCGCCCAAGAGUUCAUAUCGACGGCGGUGUUUGGCACCUCGAUGUCGGCUCAUCACAUCCUGGGGCUGAAGUAGGUCCCAAGGGUAUGGCUGUUCGCCAUUUAAAGUGGUACGCGAGCUGGGUUUAGAACGUCGUGAGACAGUUCGGUCCCUAUCUGCCGUGGGCGCUGGAGAACUGAGGGGGGCUGCUCCUAGUACGAGAGGACCGGAGUGGACGCAUCACUGGUGUUCGGGUUGUCAUGCCAAUGGCACUGCCCGGUAGCUAAAUGCGGAAGAGAUAAGUGCUGAAAGCAUCUAAGCACGAAACUUGCCCCGAGAUGAGUUCUCCCUGAGACUUAGAGUCUCCUGAAGGAACGUUGAAGACGACGACGUUGAUAGGCCGGGUGUGUAAGCGCAGCGAUGCGUUGAGCUAACCGGUACUAAUGAACCGUGAGGCUUAACCUUACAACGCCGAAGCUGUU
rnacentral:rRNA from 1 species